UUAGCUCCGAGGGGUAAGCCACAGUUCUCCUCCGCUCCUCGAGCAGGCGGAGGGACAGGACGAGAGAGGAGGGGCGCGGGACCCAGUCCUGAGCGCCGGGCCGGGAUUCCAGCUGCUGCCGCCGACUCCGGACUUCAUCCCGCUCCGGCGAGGCGCGCGCCAUGGGGUCCCCUUCCAGCUCCGGCUUCUACUUGAGCCGCGCGGUGGCCCUGCUGCUCGCCGGGGUGGUCGCCGCGCUCCUGCUGGCGCUGGCCGUGCUGGCAGCCCUGUACGGACACUCCGUGCGCGCCCCGCCAUCGGAACCCAAGGUCCCGGGCGUCCCCGACUCUGCGUCCUCUCCUCCCUUCGGGCAAGAGGAGACCCAGCCUACUCCAAAAUCCAGCUCUGCACCGGAGCGGGCGGCGACGACCUCCUCGAGCGACUGGCGACCCCCGGGACCCUGGGACCAGCUGCGCCUGCCGCCCUGGCUUGUGCCGCUGCACUACGACCUAGAGCUGUGGCCCCGGCUGCGGCCGGACGCGCUUGCGGUGCCCAGGGUGCGCUUCAGCGGCCGCGUGAAUAUCACGGUGCGCUGCACCGCGGCCACCACGCGGCUGCUGCUACACAGCCUCUUCCUAGACUGCGAGCGCGCCGAGGUGCGCGGCCCCCUGCCCCCUGGCACCAGGGCCGCGGCCGCGGGCCGCGUGCCGGUGGACAACGUGUGGUUCGCGCUGGACACGCAGUACAUGGUGCUGGAGCUGGGCGAGGCCCUGCAGCCGGGGGCCCGCUAUGAGCUGCAGCUCAGCUUCUCCGGCCCGGUGUUCGAGGACACCAGGGAGGGGUUGUUCCUCAACGUCUACACAGACCAGGGCGAGCGCAGGGCCCUGAUAGCCUCGCAGAUGGAGCCGACGUUCGCCAGGAGCGUCUUCCCGUGCUUUGACGAGCCGGCUCUGAAGGCCACCUUCAACGUCACCCUUGUUCAUCACCCGGCUUACGUGGCCCUCUCCAACAUGCCGGUGCUGAGUCGGUCGGAAAGGGAAGACGUGAACGGCAGCAGGUGGACGGCCACCACCUUUCACACCACGCCCCGCAUGCCCACCUACGUGGUGGCCUUUGCUGUCUGCGACUUGGACUUCGUCAGCCGCACCGAGAGGGGGAAGCAGAUCCGCAUCUGGGCCCGGAAAGAAGCCAUUGCAAACGGAGACGCGGACUUCGCCUUGAACAUCACAGGGCCCAUCUUCUCUUUCCUGGAGGAUUUGUUUAACAUCAGUUACCCCCUUCCAAAAACAGAUUUAAUUGCCUUGCCUGUUUUUGACAAGCAUGCAAUGGAAAACUGGGGCCUGCUGAUGUUCGAUGAAUCUGUGUUGUUGCUGCAACCCAGUGACCAGCUAACAGAGAAAAAGGCUACGAUCAUGAACUUCCUCUCCCACGAGAUCGGACACCAGUGGUUUGGAAACCUGGUCACCAUGGACUGGUGGAACAACAUCUGGCUCAAUGAGGGCUUCGCGUCUUAUUUUGAGCUUGGAGUCCGUAACAACUUCAAUCCGAGACUCCCAAGAAAUGAGAUCUUUUUAUCCAAUGUUCUGCAUGUUAUCCUUGGACAAGAUCACACCUUGGUGUCCAGAGCUGUGUCCAUGAGAGUGGGAAAUUUCACAGAAACAAAUGAAAUCAGUGAACUCUUCGACCUGUUUACAUACUACAAGGGAGCCUCUCUGGCCCGGAUGCUCUACAGCUUCCUGAAGGACCGUGUCUUCAUCAGCGCUCUCAGGUCCUAUCUGGAGGCAUUUUCUUACUCCAAUGCUGACCAGGAUGAUUUGUGGAGGCAUUUUCAAAUGGCUGUGGAUGACCAGCAUGCGGUUGUCCUGCCGGCAACAGUGAAGAGCAUAAUGGACAGCUGGACCCACCACAGUGGUUUUCCAGUCGUCACUUUAAAUGUGUCCUCUGGAGUCCUGCGACAGGAACCGUUUUACCUGGGAAAGGUCCACAAUCAGACUCUUCUCGGCCCCAGUGACACCUGGAUUAUUCCUAUUCUUUGGAUAAAAAAUGGAACUACACAAUCUUUAGUCUGGCUAGAUAAAAGCAGUGAAGUAUUCCCUGAAAUGCAAGUUUCAGAUUCUGACCAAGACUGGGUGAUUUUAAAUUUGAAUAUGACUGGCUAUUAUAGAGUUAAUUACGAUCAAUUAGGCUGGAAGAAAUUAAAACAACAGCUUGAAAAGGAUCCUAAGGCAAUCCCUGUUGUGCACAGGCUGCAGCUGAUUGACGACGCCUUUGCCUUGUCCAAAAACAAUUAUAUUGACAUUGAAACGGCACUUGAUUUAACCAAGUACCUUGCUGAAGAAGAUGAAAUCAUAGUGUGGCGUGCAGUCUUGGUAAACUUGAUAACCAGCGAUCUUGUUUCUGAUGCGAGCAACUAUGAUAUGUACCCAUUCUUAAAGAAGUAUCUAUUAAAGAGACUUAAGUCAAUAUGGAGUAUUUAUUCAACUAUAAUCCGUGAAAAUGUGGCAGUACUACAAGAUGACUCUUUGGCUCUAAUGUCCCUGGAGAAACUCUUUGAAAGUGCGUGUUGGUUGGGCCUUGAGGACUGUCUUCAGCUGUCCAGAGAGCUCUUCAGAAAAUGGAUGAGCCAUCCCGAGGAUGUAAUACCAAGUCCAAUUAGAAGUGCGGUUUUAUGUUACGGCAUUGCCUCGGGAAGUGAUGAAGAGUGGGACUUUGUGUUCAAUUUCUACACUAAUAGCACGGAGGAAGAGGAACGGAUACAGUUUGCUUACGCCAUGAGCUGCAGUAGAGACCCAUGGGUACUUAACAGGUAUUUGGAAUAUGCCAUCAUUGUAUCUCCAUUUGCUUUUAAUGAGACAAAUGUGAUUGAAAACGUGGCUGCCUCCGAAGUUGGCCGGUACAUUGCAAAGGACUUUUUAGUCAACCACUGGCAGGCUGUGAGUGAAAGGUACGGCGCACACAUCUUGGUUACUCUCAUGUACGCGAUCGGGAGAACAAUAAGUACAGAUUCACAGAUCGCAGAGCUGCAGCAGUUUUUCAGCAGCAUGUUGGAGGAGCACCAGAGGCUCACAGCCCAGGCCAGACUGCAAAGCAUGAAGAACGAGAAUCUGGACCUCAGAAAGCAGAGCGCCAGGAUGGCCGCGUGGCUGCGCAAGCACACGUAGCCCCGGCUCCUUCCAGCCCGCCCCGGGAGUUACCACUAGUCCACGCACAGCUGUCUUGAGUGCUCUUGCUGGCAUCCCAUAGGGACUCUGGUUCUAGUUCCAGCUGCUCCUCUUCUGAUCCAGUUCUCUGCUGUGGCCUGGGAAAGCACUGAAAGACGGCCCAAGUCCUUGGGCCCCUGCACCCACGUGGGAGACCUGGAAGAAGCUCCUGGCUUCAGAUCGGUGCAGCUCCAGCUGUUGCGGCCAUCUGGGGAGUGAACCAGCGGAUGGAGGACCUCUCUCUCUGUCUCUACCUCUCUCUGUAACUCUCUUGCAAAUAAAUAAAUAAAUUCUUUAAAAUAAAAUAAAAUAAAAUAAAACAUGUUCAUCAGC